CGAGCGGAUCGUGCCACACAAAUCGCACCCCCGUGGGCACGGCGCAAGGAGUUGGUGCUUUCUUUAUCGCCUUCUUUUUUUUCCCUUUCCCACGUAACUUUGUUCAGUGCUUGCCACCGCUGCCGCUCGCAAAGGUGUCGUGGUGCGAUAAAAACCCAGGGCGUUUAGAGGCGUGGAAUCAGCGAGGUUGGGGGAGUCCAAGCAUCCACCUGGUGCUGCCCCUCUAGCCCCUAAACCGCAUCUCCCAGUGCCUUUAAACACCUCCAGGAUGGUGAUUCCACCACCAGCCCAUUCCCAUGCCUGACCAUCAGAACAGAGACAUUUUUAUUUUCUACUAUCUAAUCUGAAUCUCCCCUGUCUUGCUUUAAGAGCAUGUCCUCCUGUCCUCUCACUGGCAGCAGAGACCUCCCUACAGCCUCCUCUGUGUGAGUUUUACACAGCGAUGAAGCCCCCCUGAGCCUCCUCUUCUGCAGACGAAGCUAACCCAGCUCCCGCAGCCACUCCUCACAAGACCUUUUCUAGUCCAUUUCCAGUUAAAGGGUUCAGAACAUCACAUUAAUUAAAGGGAACAGUCAGCUCCGCAGCCGGGCAGCCCAGCAGGGGAACCGACAGUGCUGAGGGGAGAAAUCACUGCGUGCCUUGCAUGAAGUCCAUCUUCCCAUGCAGCAAACUGGCAGUUCCGGAGCCCUUCGGAACCAGCUGAGGAGGGAGCAAGGGACAACUACAAUGUAAACAUGGGAAAAAAGGACUUUGUCAAAGCCAGGUCCAGGUUUUGGUAUGUCUGUGCUCAGGAUCCCCAGUUACCAGCUCCACCCUGCAGCAAAGCACAGCAAUGGGACUUGGAAAGAGCAGCUGAAGUCUGGGGCAUAAAGUGCUCUCUGGGAGGUCAGAGAUGCUUCUUCAGCCUCUGUCCUGUCCAGCUCAGAGCAAGGUUUGGCAACAACUUGGUCAAAGCUUCCCUUUGUGCCUCCUGUGGGAGCUGUUUCAAUUUAGCCCCUUAACUGCAGUUUUCAAAGGAGCAUUGGGGACAUGAAGGAACUGAGUUUAAAUUCUCUCACCACACCAGGCAAAAGAGAUUUGGGCAGAGUUUUCCCCACUCAGAGUGCCUGAACAGUGGGUUUGGUGUUCCUUGCUGUGAUUCUGAGUACUCCUGAGCUCACCAAGCGCUGUUUUCAUGGCCACCAGCCUCACUGUGUGAGCUGGAGACACAAACUCCUCCUUUUCCUCUCUGCUCUGCUCACACACUCCAAGCACAGCUUUCUUGGGAGGCUGAGGUCACCAGGGCACACAGUCUGUCAUCACACUGGGAAGCAGGACACAGGCUGGCUCUCCUUGUGACCAACAACGUGGUUUUAACCCACAUCUCUGGAGCCAGCAGGACACUCCCCUUCUGCCAGUCAGCUCGUAACACCUCAGACCUACCAGGCUAGUUUUACUUUCUUCUCUGCACUUCUUCCCUUUUGAAGGCACUAUAAACACAAGUGAAGCACUUUGAGGACAGGGAAGGGAGGGCAGAUGAGCAGCCAGCAGCAGCAGCGUGAAUGGGGUGACAGUCUUUGCAUAAGUUGUAACCCAGAGCAGAGGAAACAUGCCUUUCUCAGAAGGAGUGGCUUCAAUUUCAUGCAGAUUUCUGACUCCUACAGCUAGUUAUGAUCCAUAGGAAUGUUCAGAAAGAGGCUUCUUUUUCCUUCUUUUGAUCCUUUUCAUCCCUCCUACGAAGCCCUUUGUUAUUUUACAGCCUGGACCACAAGUUUCUCACACAGAGCAAGAAAGAGUCCAAAAUAAAUUGAAAGAUGAAAUUAAAUGGGCUGCACUUGUAAUGCAAAUGUGAAGGUGACCAAACUCUUUUACCCAAUCCAACAUAAAGAAGUUUCAAAUUCUGAUUGGGGAUUUUUUCCUGUUUUGACAUUAAAACACACUUUCUUUCCAAUUA